CCCAGACUCCUACGGGAGGCAGCAGUGGGGGAUAUUGCACAAUGGGGGGAACCCUGAUGCAGCGACGCCGCGUGGGUGAAGAAGUAUUUCGGUAUGUAAAGCCCUAUCGGCAGGGAAGAAAUUGGACGGUACCUGACUAAGAAGCCCCGGCUAACUACGUGCCAGCAGCCGCGGUAAUACGUAGGGGGCAAGCGUUAUCCGGAUUCGCUGGGUGUAAAGGGAGCGUAGACGGCCAUGCAAGCCUGGAGUGAAAGCCCGGGGCCCAACCCCGGGACUGCUCUGGGAACUGUGCGGCUGGAGUGCGGGAGGGGCAGGCGGAAUUCCUGGUGUAGCGGUGAAAUGCGUAGAUAUCAGGAGGAACACCGGCGGCGAAGGCGGCCUGUUGGACCGCGACUGACGUUGAGGCUCGAAAGCGUGGGGAGCAAACAGGAUUAGAUACCCUGGUAGAC
rnacentral:rRNA from 1 species